AUGGGCAACGCAUGCGGCGGUUCCCUUAGAUCCAAGUACCUGCACAGCUUCAAGCACCCCGCCUCCCAGCGCCACGACCCCGACCGCGACUACGACCACAACACCGCCGCCGACUCGCCCAAGAAGCCCGGCUCCCAGCCGACCGCAGCAGCAGCCGCAGCCGCCAAGACGGACGGCCACGCGCCCCCCGCGCAGCCCGCCGCGGCCAUGAGGCGCGGCGGGGCGGGCGCCCCCGCCGACCUCGGCUCGGUCCUCGGCCACCCCACGCCCAACCUGCGCGACCUCUACGCGCUGGGCCGGAAGCUCGGGCAGGGCCAGUUCGGCACCACCUACCUCUGCACCGAGCUGGCCACGGGGGCCGACUACGCCUGCAAGUCCAUCUCCAAGCGCAAGCUCAUCACCAAGGAGGACAUCGACGACGUGCGCCGCGAGAUCCAGAUCAUGCACCACCUCUCCGGCCACCCCAACGUCGUCGCCAUCAAGGGCGCCUACGAGGACCAGCUCUACGUGCACAUCGUCAUGGAGCUCUGCGCCGGGGGAGAGCUCUUCGACCGCAUCAUACAGCGGGGCCACUACAGCGAGCGCAAGGCCGCCGAGCUCACCAGGAUCAUCGUCGGGGUCGUCGAGGCCUGCCACUCGCUCGGGGUCAUGCACCGGGACCUCAAGCCCGAGAACUUCCUGCUCGCCAACAAGGACGACGACCUCUCGCUUAAGGCCAUCGAUUUCGGCCUCUCCGUCUUCUUCAAGCCUGGCCAAAUUUUCACCGAUGUUGUUGGAAGCCCAUACUAUGUAGCCCCAGAAGUGCUGUGCAAAAAAUAUGGACCAGAAGCUGAUGUAUGGACCGCUGGUGUAAUUCUCUACAUUCUGCUAAGUGGUGUACCCCCAUUUUGGGCAGAGACACAGCAAGGAAUAUUUGAUGCUGUACUGAAAGGUGUCAUCGAUUUUGAUUCUGAACCCUGGCCUGUGAUAUCUGACAGUGCAAAAGAUCUGAUAACAAGAAUGCUCAAUCCUCGCCCAGCUGAACGCUUGACAGCACACGAAGUUCUAUGCCAUCCAUGGAUUCGUGAUCAGGGAGUUGCUCCUGAUCGUCCUCUUGACACAGCUGUCUUAUCUCGCAUUAAGCAAUUCUCUGCGAUGAAUAAGUUGAAGAAGAUGGCUUUGCGGGUAAUAGCUGAGAGCCUCUCAGAGGAGGAAAUUGCAGGGUUGAAGGAAAUGUUCCAGACUAUGGACGCUGAUAACAGUGGUGCAAUUACAUAUGAUGAGCUCAAAGAAGGCUUGAGAAAAUAUGGCUCCACAUUGAAGGAUACUGAGAUUCGUGAUCUUAUGGAUGCGGCGGACGUGGACAACAGUGGGACCAUUGACUAUAUAGAGUUCAUCGCUGCAACACUGCAUCUGAAUAAACUGGAGCGUGAGGAGCAUCUGGUGGCAGCCUUUUCAUAUUUUGACAAAGAUGGAAGUGGUUACAUCACAGUGGAUGAACUGCAGCAAGCUUGCCAAGAGCAUAACAUGCCAGAUGCUUUUCUUGAUGAUGUCAUUAAAGAAGCUGACCAGGACAAUGAUGGUCGCAUUGACUAUGGAGAAUUUGUUGCCAUGAUGACCAAGGGCAAUAUGGGGGUCGGGCGAAGAACAAUGAGAAACAGCCUGAAUAUCAGCAUGAGAGACGCACCUGGUGCAAUCUAG
rnacentral:rRNA from 1 species